AAAUUGGAAAAUUAAUAGUAAGUAGCUCUUUUUCCCAUCUUCUGCCUUUUCUUUGAGUAAUAUACUUCUUGCAAUGAAGCCUUCUCUGUAUUAUGACAACAUUGACCCAAACACAAACUCACUUCAUUUGGUUGUAUGUGUGGACAAGGACGUCAAGAAUGUUUUGCACUGAGGAAGAUUGUAUUAAAAAGAAAAUGCAAGGAAGUGUUUCAGAACACAGUUCACCCAUGUGUGCCUUUUGGGCUCUGUCAGUCCCUGUUCUGAUAACAAAUGCAUGUAUCUUAUCUGUUGAAUAAAGUGAUUCAUAUAUGUGAUAUCAAAGAUGGUAGAGAUGCCAUCAUUGGAGAAAUCACGUGUGAUGUCUUUUCAAAAUAAAAGUGUUAUCUUUUUUCCCCCUUAUAGAAUAUAGGCAAACGUCCAAUCAGUAUUUUUGCACUAAUUGUAAGUAUACGGUUCUUCAUAAUUCUUUACUUUUUCUGAGUAAUAUUGUUCUUGCAUCUGAAAAACACUCUGUUUGUUAAUUCCCACGCCCAGAAAGCAUCUUCAGAGACUCCACAGCAGAAACAGAGAAGACUGGGCCAAAACAUUUCAUCCGUUUUAACUUUUUUUUUUUUAAAGCAGCUUCAAAUAGCACUACACCAAGUAGUCAAGGGAGAAACUUAUAUUUUGGAAUUGUUGCAAGGGACAUUUUUUGGAUGAGGAGGGUUUCUCCAAAGUUACUUUACUGAUUGUGGGUUUUGUUCUCUGCAAAAUGGUAAAUUGUUGACUCUAAUGGUUUUUCUGUCAGAUGCAAUUUUCCUAGUGAGACAUGUUUCCUCAUUUCCCCUCCCAGGAUUAGUUUUAUCAGAAUUUGUUUUGGAAAGCCAGCUUCCCUUUGUUCUCCUCGAAAAGGAAUAAUGCAGUUUCAAGAUUCUGCUAAUAUAUAUUAUACUUUCCCUGCAAUCCCUGUUGUAGCCUCCCUGAUCCUGCCUACCUCAAAGGUUGAUGUGGCUCUACGUUCCUAGUCUGAUGCUGUGAGGCCAAUCACAUCAGUAUUCUCUGUGGCCUUCAAGAGUUCACCAGUUUAUUUUAGUGGGCAGCAGUGGCCCAGGCAAGGCCCACACAUAUCAUGCAUUUGCCCAAUUUAUGACGGAACCCAUAAUGGUUUUUCAUCCUCCUUUUAGUCAAUCGGAAAAAAGAUAACACCUAUUAUCAAGAAGGCCAAUGGUGGCAAAGGAGUGCCAAAACUGAUAAGUAUAUUCACCGCUGGUGGAGAUGGAAACAUGGAAAAUAGCAAUCAGAAGUUGGAAAAAAUUAUGAAUGCACUGAGUGAGGAACAUACAAUGAAAAUGGUCAACGCUUUGGAAGCAAAUGAAGUUGAAAAAUUAACGG